rnacentral:rRNA from 1 species
UACGUAGGUGGCAAGCGUUGUCCGGAAUUAUUGGGCGUAAAGCGCGCGCAGGCGGCUUCUUAAAUCCAUCUUAAAAGUGCGGGGCUUAACCCCGUGAUGGGAUGGAAACUGGGAGGCUGGAGUAUCGGAGAGGAAAGUGGAAUUCCUAGUGUAGCGGUGAAAUGCGUAGAGAUUAGGAAGAACACCGGUGGCGAAGGCGACUUUCUGGACGACAACUGACGCUGAGGCGCGAAAGCGUGGGGAGCAAACAGG